rnacentral:lncRNA from 1 species
GCUUGCAGGUUCACAGGUUCAAUCCUUUAUCAUCAAGUGGGGGAGCAUAGCAACAUCCAGGCAGGAAUGUCUCUGGAGGAGCCGAAAGUUCCACCUCUUGAUCCAAAGGCAGACAGGAGAAGACUGGCUCCCACAUGGCGAGGAGGAGGGUCUCACAGUGACAAUUCCUCCAACAAGGCCACAUCUCCCCACAGUGCCUCAGGCCAAGCCUAUUCAAACUACCACAGUACUAAUGUAAUUAAUUACAGGACAAGAGCUUUAUUUACCCUCCAGUAUGUGUCUUUAAGGUUGAGCCUAGAACAAGUAACUAAAAAGAAGGGAAGUUUGUUUAGCUCAGGUAUCCUUAAUAAUUGUGGUCCUCAAAGUCAUCAGAGAUCUGCUGAAAUGGCAUUUCAAAUGCUUAAUGGGAAAAACUGGCUGUGACAGAGACCCCAGCUCCUAGCGCUCACCCUGAGGUCUCUAAAGAAGGUAAACAGGGGGCACCAUCGACUCCACCUACAGUAGUGUGGCAAUGCUAACCACCGGCAUAACUGCCCCAAUGCCUCGCGUGCUGAACCCUGCCCAAUCUGUGGACAAGCAGGACACUGGAGAGUUGAUUGCCCCAUUUUGCCAAGACAAAGUGAGGUCAGUCUCUCAGGUUCCUCCUCCACAGGAAGAAGGCUUCUCAGAUUUGCCAGGCCUGGCCACCGAAGAUCGAUGUGCCCUCAACGAAGCCAUGGGCACCACAGGAACCUGGUGGGUUGGCUGCUAGGUAAUGGAUAAGUCUCUGUCGUUUUAAUUGCUACAUAGGCCAUUUGGAUUACACUCCCUGGUCUAAUUUAUCCUUCUCAGCUCUCUGAUGGCAUUGAUGGCCAGGCUAACUACAGGUUUGUCAGUUCGUCAGUAGCUCCUUCACACGAGGCUUCAGCCACCUCACUCCAUUUCAUAGGUAAAGACCAAGCCCUGCGAUCUCUAAGAGUUACUAGGUCUCUUGUUAAGAAAUGGCAGACAGUUUGCUGAAAGGCUUUGAGUUAAAAUACAGGCAGGUUUCAGAAGUAGCUUUUUACUGUCCCUUUAUUUAAACUUGCUUUGCAUUGACUGUUCUCUGUAAUAGCCGUUUGAGUCUCUGAUGAGUGAUUGGAUGGAGGAAAGAGAAAAGUUUCAAAGUCUUUGCAAGUUCUGGGUGUUCAGAGGUGUAGAAGGGGUCUGAGGAUGUGAAAGUUCUGAGGGUCUGAAGUCAGUUAAGGUGCAAGUUACAGCGGCAUAAGAAAAUGAUCUGAAAAGUGGGGAAGGUUUCAGACUUCUUUCCCCAUCUGUGCUCGUGUUAAUACUAAGACUUUAAGAGUUCAGAACUUUACUGUUUGUCAACGGAGUUGUGAUAAGCUAGCUGACGGAGCACGGGCUGCCUGCUAUUCAGUCACAGCUUUAAACUCCCUUCAGUUGUCUUUGAGUGUAGACUUAAAGGUGCUUCUCGUCAUCUGUGGCCAAUCUAUACGUCCAUCCCUCCACACCGAGACAAGAGUGGUUAUGCUUUCUAACCCAAAGCCAGGGCUUUCGCUAGGACUCAAAGGCUUGUGUCUACCCUGGCUGCUUACGGGACACCUGGUAGCUGGUUCUUCUAUGAUGUGGAGUUUAGUACAGAUUAAUGCUAGCGUAUCUAAGACUUUUAUCUUUUUGUAAACUAAA